AUGCUUCACGCCGCUCCGGCGCUCACGAGCCUCGUGCUGGUGAAUGUCAAACGCAAGACGGUGAAGAAGGCGGAUCCCAACGACAGUUUCGGGCGGCCCUUCCAUCUCCGGUGCCCGACGCUAACCGCCCUGGAGCUCGACACCAGCGGCCUCUACUACAGCGACUCGGAGACCCAGGAGGAGCUCAAGGUUCUGGUCAACAGAGGCAUCGAGCUCGACAUGCCGAGCCUGCGCUCCUUCUGCUACCGGGGAUUCUCUGUCAAGCUCUCGCUCACAUCGCCCGCACCAGGGCUCGCGCGGGUCGAACUCGAUGUCUCCCGCUAUGGCCAAGGGCGCGAGCCCCCAUCACGCAUGCUCAGAAGCUUCUCCACCACGAGGGCCCUGAAGCUGUGCCUUGGCAGCAUCAAGGACAUCGUCGCCGGUGAGGAGGAAGAAGGCGGGCCCAUCCUGCCCACGUUCCCAAACCUGGAGCUCCUCGAAGUAGACGGAAGCUACCAGUACAAGAAGAACGACACGGCGGCAUUGGGAAUGGCGAGGCUGCUCGGCUCAUGCCCGGUGAUUGGGAAUGGCGAGGCUGCUCGGCUCAUGCCCGGUGAUGUCCGAGCUUUGGCUUAG
rnacentral:rRNA from 1 species